rnacentral:lncRNA from 1 species
UUUGUAUACUCCUAAAAUAUCGAGCACCAAAAAUUAAUUGUCUAUUUUUUCUUACUCCUAAAAGUUAAUCUUGUGGAAAAUGAUUUAGCAUGCUCCCAAAUUAAGACUUUUUUUUCCUUUCUUAAUGACUUGAUAUCCAAGAAACUCACUCUUUUUAGUUAGGGUGUAUGAAUCCUCAACUUAUCGUAUUCUCUCCAUCCAAGUCCGUUAUGAUCUCAUCAUGGCUCCUU